CGCACAUUGCGCCCACUAGUAUUCUGGUGGGCAUGCCUGUUCGAGCGUCAUUAAGUCCACUCAAGCGUCAUUGCUUGGUAUUGGGAGACUACUCUUUUUUUGUAGCUCCCCAAAGACAACGGCGGAGUCGUGUCAUCCUCUGAGCUUAGUAAUUACUUUCUAGCUUGCGAGCGAGGUGCGUCCCCUGCCGUAAAACCCCCAUCUUUCUUAUGGUUGACCUCGGAUCAGGUAGGAAUACCCGCUGAACUUAA
rnacentral:misc_RNA from 1 species